AACCUUAUGGACCUGCGGGCGUAUACCUGCGGAAGGAUCAUUACCGAGUUAUACAACUCAUCAACCCCUGUGAACUUACCUACAACGUUGCUUCGGCGGGAACAGACGGCCCCGUAAAACGGGCCGCCCCCGCCAGAGGACCCCUAACUCUGUUUUUAUAAUGUUUUUCUGAGUAAACAAGCAAAUAAAUUAAAACUUUCAACAAUGGAUCU
rnacentral:misc_RNA from 1 species